AGCUGCAGCAGUGCCUCCGCGAGCGACGGAAGGGGAAGGAAGAUAUGUUUUCCGGGAGCUCUACAAACCUCUCCUUUCUCUCUCCUUCAUCCACACUCGCUCGUUCGGUUCUUCCCGGAGUUACUGCCUUUCACGCUCAUCGCCGCUCCUCCUUUCUCUCCCCCAGUUCUCACAGUUUUCGGCUCCAAAACAAUGCGUUUCGGCCGGAGAUUUGGACGCGCAACUUCUCUACUGCCGCUUUGCCUUUUGACCUCUCGCCACCGCCGAUCGACCACGACCUUAUCGAUACUAUGAAAGUUGCUGGUGCGAAGGUAUUAGAGGAUGACAUAAUUGAGACCUAUGGCAAUGACGAUGAGGCCUUAAGUGCAGCUGAAAAUGGAGUUGCUGUUGUGGAUCUUUCACAUUAUGGUCGGAUAAGAGUUAGUGGAGAAGACCGAGUUCAGUUUCUUCACAACCAAAGUACUGCAAAUUUUGAAAUUCUUCAUGAAGGACAGGGUUGUGACACUGUUUUUGUUACACCAACAGCUCGUACCAUUGACAUUGCACAUGCAUGGAUUAUGAAAAAUGCAAUAACAUUGGUGACCUCACCAGAGACAAGCGAGAGAAUAACAUCAAUGCUUAGAAAGUACAUAUUUUUUUCUGACAAAGUAGAAAUACAAGAUAUUUCUAAGCAAACAUGCUUUUUUGUACUAGUGGGGCCUAGAAGCAACCAAAUAAUGGAAGGAUUGAAUCUUGGUGACCUUGUUGGACAACCAUAUGGUUCACACAAGCAUUACAGUGUAAAUGGGAAUCCCGUAACUAUAGCAGUGGGAAAUAUCAUAUCAGAAGAAGGUUUUUCACUGUUGGUGUCACCAGCUACUGCUAAAUCGGUCUGGAAAGCUAUUGUAGAUUAUGGUGCUGUACCCAUGGGUUCAAAUGCAUGGGAAGAAUUAAGGAUAAUUCAAGGAAGACCAGCACCUGGUAAAGAGCUUACCGAUGAAUUUAACGUUCUGGAGGCUAAUCUUUGGAAUGCUGUUUCUCUGAAUAAAGGGUGUUAUAAGGGACAAGAAACCAUUUCUAGGCUUGUUACUUACGAUGGAAUCAAACAAAGAUUGUGGGGAAUUCGUCUAUCUUCGUCUGUAGAACCUGGCAGCAGCAUCUCAGUUGAUGGCAAAAAGGUUGGCAAACUAACCAGUGUCACAAGCAGUGGAGAUACAUCCAAGCCUUUCGGGUUGGGCUAUAUUAGGAAGAAAGCUGCUUCCAAGGGAGACACUGUAAUCAUCGGGGAUGGUGUUGUGGGGACCGUGGUGGAAGUCCCUUUUCUUGGUCGCCAACUCCCGCCAUCAUCAAAGAGUUAAUAAGACAGUUCCAGGUGUAAAAUUCUGUUCCAUUCAAGCACCAAUAAUGAUCUCCAAAAUGAAUUUGGAUUGCGGUUUGUCACGAUGAUUGGAGGUGUUCCUACCUGAGGCGUGCCAUUUUUUUGCAAAAGCCUUGCAAAUGUCUGCAACGGACGUAGCUUUGUUGAUUACCCCAAGAAGGUUGUAUGAUGGCGUCGCCGUCUUUGGAUGAUGGCCCAUGUGACACGGCGAGGUUUUGUUGGUAGUGGGUGGUGGCUGGCCGGGGACGACGCUAGCAGAUUGAGCGAUCAGAUAGGAUGAUAGCGUGCAACUGAUGGAUGGAGAAGGUAGAGGAGGGGGGGAGGGGGGGAGGGGUUGAAGCCAGGUGAGAAUGGAGAUUUUGGGGAAAUUAAGGUAAAAGCUAAGGUGGUUCUUUGUUCAAACAAUUGUUCCACAAAGGGCGCCACGUUCAUCAUUUUACUUGCAUGAAUCAAGUGAACCUCAAUGUGAAGUGUAGUGUAUGUAUGGAUAUUUAGAUAAAGACCAAUCGUUUUGAGCAUAUUACC